rnacentral:rRNA from 1 species
GGGGAAUAUUGGACAAUGGGCGCAAGCCUGAUCCAGCCAUGCCGCGUGAGUGAUGAAGGCCCUAGGGUUGUAAAGCUCUUUCACCGGUGAAGAUAAUGACGGUAACCGGAGAAGAAGCCCCGGCUAACUUCGUGCCAGCAGCCGCGGUAAUACGAAGGGGGCUAGCGUUGUUCGGAAUUACUGGGCGUAAAGCGCACGUAGGCGGAUAUUUAAGUUAGGGGUGAAAUCCCAGGGCUCAACCCUGGAACUGCCUCUAAUACUGGGUAUCUAGAGUCCGAGAGAGGUGAGUGGAAUUCCGAGUGUAGAGGUGAAAUUCGUAGAUAUUCGGAGGAACACCAGUGGCGAAGGCGGCUCACUGGCUCGGUACUGACGCUGAGGUGCGAAAGCGUGGGGAGCAAAC